rnacentral:rRNA from 1 species
AUGUCCACCGCCAAUGACGUCGAUCAUUCCGCCACCGAGAAGAAGACCGCCGCGGCUUCUGACUGGCCUACUGAAGAGUAUAACUCAUUUACCCCGCUUCUGUUUCUUUCUGUCUUGACAGUACAAGUUGUGCACGUAGAUAUUUCUAUUAUAUGUCUAGUAUAUGCUUAUCUAGAUUGUAAUCAGUAUGUUAUUAAUUCUUUCAAUUCAAUGUUCAUGAUUUAUUCACAGAUUAAAUUAACCGAAAAAUUGCUAAUAUACUCGACAAGAUGUAGCAUUGUUAAAAACCAUCUGGAUGCAAUCCGCCAAAAAAAUAAAUCUUCUGGAUGUAAUUUAGCAAUUCUGAAACAGAAAUUUCUGGUAUUUUCCAAUAACCGGUUCGGCCAUCCGCAAUGCCGGGUGAAAAAAAUGUGUACCAGAGAAAAAUCCUCGUGGAAACCAAACUGUGAUCUCUGGAUUCACGUGCAGCGCCAGAAUUGA